GGCACGGUGGCUUAGUGGUUAGCACGUUCGCCUCACACCUCCAGGGUCCGGGGUUCUAUUCCCGCUGGGGCCA